rnacentral:lncRNA from 1 species
CCCAAAGUGCUGGGAUUACAGGCGUGAGCCACGGUGCCUGGCCAAACAACUUGAUUUCACUUGGUGGUGUGGAACUUCAGCAUGAGUAAUUCCAUGUUGGUCUGGUGUGUUGGCCUCAUUGCAGGAGCUCAGUCCAAACCAAUGACCUCCUAUAAAAUUUUUUAACAGGACAAAUGCUGGCUUGGUGCAUGGCUUGGAGCAGUGGUGCACCUUGCAUUGUCAUCCACGCCCAUGGAAACUGCGAAGAUGGAGUUCUAAUAGAACACAGCCCUUCCUCUGACGUGCACAGGAUAUGAAAAUGUCUGAUAGUGUUGUGGCUGCAGUGAGACCUGGGAGUGGCAGUUUCUUUCACUGCAGUUGUCUGUCCAAAGCGAAGUGAACUAGCAAGUCUCUUACAAAAGGGCAAGCUCUGAACUGCGCACAGUUUCAUAGGUCUCUAAUCGUGGGAAACCUCGUAUGGCAGAAUGCAGGUCCAAAAGUCCUGGACUCUGAUCCAGAUAAACGGAAGUCUCAGGAAGAAAUAAAGAAAUUGGGACACAGAGAAUGUAAAUGGAGAUGCAGUGGAAUCAGACUCCAGAGUUCCCACUCAAAAACUUUUCUCUCUCUCCUAUCUUGUGAGGAAGGACAUUUUAGGUAUUACUUCAUCUAGAAAGGAAUGGCUCUUCAGCGAGGCAAGCAGAACUGGGAAUGCAGAGCCCAGGUUUGCAGCUUCACUUCUGAAGUCAAGC